UACAGAGGGUGCAAACGUUGUUCGGAUUUACUGGGCGUAAAGCGCGUGUAGGCUGCUUCGCAAGUCGGAUGUGAAAGCCCUGGGCUCAACCCAGGAAGUGCAUUCGAAACUGCAGAGCUGGAGUCCUGGAGAGGAAGGCGGAAUUCUCGGUGUAGAGGUGAAAUUCGUAGAUAUCGAGAGGAACACCGGUGGCGAAGGCGGCCUUCUGGACAGUGACUGACGCUGAGGCACGAAAGCGUGGGGAGCAAACAGG
rnacentral:rRNA from 1 species